rnacentral:tRNA from 1 species
GUCUUAGUGACGUAACAGUUAAGUGCUUGGUUGUUAACCAAAAGGUUGGCGGUUUGAAUCUGCCCAGUGGCU